rnacentral:rRNA from 1 species
GUGGGGAAUAUUGGACAAUGGGCGCAAGCCUGAUCCAGCCAUGCCGCGUGCAGGAAGACGCAUCUAUGGUGUGUAAACUGCUUUUGUACGGGAAGAAACACUCCCUCGUGAGGGAGCUUGACGGUACCGUAAGAAUAAGGAUCGGCUAACUCCGUGCCAGCAGCCGCGGUAAUACGGAGGAUCCAAGCGUUAUCCGGAAUCAUUGGGUUUAAAGGGUCCGUAGGCGGUUUAAUAAGUCAGUGGUGAAAUCCCAUCGCUCAACGAUGGAACGGCCAUUGAUACUGUUAGACUUGAAUUACAAGGAAGUAACUAGAAUAUGUAGUGUAGCGGUGAAAUGCUUAGAUAUUACAUGGAAUACCAAUUGCGAAGGCAGGUUACUACUUGUGGAUUGACGCUGAUGGACGAAAGCGUGGGGAGCGAACAGGAUUAGAUACCCUUGUAGUCC